rnacentral:tRNA from 1 species
UAGCUCAGCUGGGAGAGCGACGCGUUCGCAUCGCGUAGGUCAGGAGUUCGAUUCUCCUCAUCUCCACCA